GCCUAGUUAGCUUAGUUGGUAAGUGCGUCGCCUUGUAAGCGCAGGCCGCGGGUUCGUUUCCCGCCCGGGGCG
rnacentral:tRNA from 1 species